AGAGUUUGAUCCUGGCUCAGGACGAACGCUGGCGGCGUGCCUAAUACAUGCAAGUCGAGCGGACUUGAUGGAGUGCUUGCACUUCUGAUAGUUAGCGGCGGACGGGUGAGUAACACGUAGGUAACCUGCCCCUAAGACUGGGAUAACAUUCGGAAACGAAUGCUAAUACCGGAUACGCGAUUCCUUCGCAUGGAGGAAUC
rnacentral:rRNA from 1 species